rnacentral:lncRNA from 1 species
AGAGCAAGGCUGUUCCAUCUCGAAAGCCCCGUUGGCUUCUCACUGUCUCUCAGUGUCCUUGGGUGGACCUCCACAGCUCACGUGACUCCACACCCCACAGCUUCCUGACUCUGAAGUCCUGUCAUGGGACAAACUCACAUCAGAUGCAGGGUGCUGAAUGGGUUUUAAAGUGUGUAUGGAGUCCUCCCUCUCCCGCAGAUAUCAGAGUGGUCAUAGUACAAGUCUGGGCUCUUAUCAUCAUAAAGGAUACUUUAUAUGACAGGGCUAGGGACAUCUCAGAUUGAAGCGACUUUGGGACCCAUUUGGGAGUGACAAUCCAGGCCUGGGUGUUUGUAGAUCAUCUCUUACUGUAACAGGCCCCCAGAGCUUAGUACAUCCUAAGACCUUAGGACAUCUGAUGUCAUGUUAGAGACAUUAUCGUGACCUUAAAACUGGUCUCAGAGCGGCUCUGUUGUAGAUGACCAACCCCCUAAUUAUGACUGAUUCGGGGGCAUGCGGGAGAGGAAGACCUGAGAAAUCACUCAUCUUUCCACUUCAUACUCACCCGUUCUUUGGUGAGAAAGUUGUACCUGCAUGUCAUCCAGGGUCACCGAUCUGGGAGGCCUCAUGUCCACUGUGGCUUCCUGUCUGCUAAGAACACUCUCCCC